AUGGCAGUACAUCACCAGGCAGACUCCAAGCUCUGUGAUGUGCUCAGUCUUCAUACCACUCUAUAUAUUACUUACCUGAGCACUUUCCUGGGAGCAUUCCUUUGCAGACUCAUGUCUGUAAGAAAAAGAACUGAGCACAGACUUGCUCUAGGCUUUUUAUUUUGAAGAUAUGUGGUUUUUGUCUCUUUUGGGAGCUGUGUAGAUACAUCCAUCAUUACCACAGAGAAAUAGUCUCACUGCAGUGACCUAUUUCACUGCCAAGGCAAAAGGCACUGAUGGUUCAAGUGGAAACUGCAUGUAUUCUGGUGAUGUCACAAAAAGAAGAAAAUCACAAGGAACCUCAGAAAACUCAAGGAUCUCUGUCACCUCUGCACCUCAUCUGACCUCCAAGCAAAAUGUUUCAUACAGGCAGGCCCAAGUCUCCACCUGGGCCAGUAGGUUUUCAGGCACCUUGCAGCUCCCAGUGUAGGACCUGGUGAUUCCACUACAUUUGUGCUGUGAAAUGUAAAUUCCACUAUUCAGAACUUUUGAUGUGCCACAUUACAAGAGCAGCAAACCCUAGGCCAUUGAGGAGAAGAUGUAGAAUCUUGGAAUGCAAGAGGAAGCCACAUUUCCAGCUAUUUAUUCCCUAAGAGUUCCAAAAGCUAGAGUCUAGAAAACAUCACCCUGCUGGUUCUUUGGAGCUGUACCCGAGGUUUCAGGUUUGGCUUGUGACUGUGUCUGUCAGUCUCCUGUCAUGUUGACUGCCUGCAGUUCUUCCUUGGAGCUGUAGUCUUCUUACAGAGAGCAGCUCCUAACAGAGGGCAAUGAAUCAUUUGAGCUACAGCUCCCAUAGGAAGAUAUGGGAGUAUUUCCAAAGUGAGGCUUUUCUGUUUUUGGCUAAGAGACUAUUUCUGAGUAUUUAAUUAGUUAAUUUAAAAGAAAACAAGAUUUUCCCCAGAAAUCAGUCUUUUUGUUUAAAAAUGUGUAUCUAAUUUUCCGCAAAAGCUGUUUCAACCAAUGCUUGGAAUUAGUCACUGACAAAACUACUUGAAAAUGGAUUUCAUAAUGUAGAGUAAAAUCCAGACAAUUUUUUCCAGAUGACUUUAGAGUGUUGUUGUUAUUACUCCUAAACUAAAAAUGAUAAACCAAGAAAACUUGUAAUUAAGGUUAAUGAAAAAGUAGCACAUUAAAGAUACAAAAAAUAAAGCAUUAGACCAUGAAAAUCA